AAGUCGUAACAAGGUUUCCGUAGGUGAACCUGCGGAAGGAUCAUUAGCGAAGUUCGGAAUGCAUGUUCGACGUUGAUGCUGCCCAGCAAUGGGAUGUGCUCGCUCGGAUGUGUGUCCCUUCUCUAUCCACCCCAUUGUGAACCAAGUGUGUGAGCCGAAGAGAAAUCGGACGCUCGCAUGCAAACCUUUAACAUACCCCAAUAAAGUAUCAGAAUGUACCUUGCGUUAACUCGCACAAAUAUAACUUUCAACAACGGAUCUCUUGGCUCUC
rnacentral:misc_RNA from 1 species